CAUCUAUCGAUUAAAUUAAAAAUUAUCAAAAUCGGUACACCCAGUAAAAAGUUAUUGUGGAUUUUCAAGAAUUUCCCUCGAUUUCUCUGGGAUCCCAUCAUCAGAUCCUGGUUUCCUUAUCAUGGUACUAAAUUUGGGAUAUCCUUUUUCCAACAAAAAAAGAAUUAUCAAAAUCGGUACAUCCAGUAGAAAGUUAUGCGGUAUAAUACAAUGUAGGUCGA
rnacentral:misc_RNA from 1 species